rfam:Solanum tuberosum cultivar DM 1-3 516 R44 scf00027_40, whole genome shotgun sequence.
GUUGAGAUGGUCGAGUUGGUCUAAGGCGAUAAAUUAAGGUUUUGGUCCGAAAGGGCGUGGGUUCAUAUCCCACUCUCAACA